rnacentral:rRNA from 1 species
UACGUAGGGUGCAAGCGUUAAUCGGAAUUACUGGGCGUAAAGCGUGCGCAGGCGGUUGUGCAAGACAGAUGUGAAAUCCCCGGGCUUAACCUGGGAACUGCAUUUGUGACUGCACGGCUAGAGUAUGGCAGAGGGGGAUGGAAUUCCGCGUGUAGCAGUGAAAUGCGUAGAUAUGCGGAGGAACACCAAUGGCGAAGGCAGUCCCCUGGGCCUGUACUGACGCUCAUGCACGAAAGCGUGGGGAGCAAACAGG